GGAGCAAAACUCAAAAAAAUAAGUCUCAGUUCGGAUUGAAGGCUGAAAUUCGCCUUCAUGAAGCCGGAAUUGCUAGUAAUGGCAGGUCAGCAUACUGCCGUGAAUACGUUCCCGGGCCUUGUACACACCGCCCGUCACACCAUGAGAGUUGGGAAUACCCGAAGCCUGUGAGCUAACUUUUAGAGGCAGCAGUCGAAGGUAGAAUCAAUGAUUGGGGUGAAGUCGUAACAAGGUAAC
rnacentral:rRNA from 1 species